rnacentral:rRNA from 1 species
GUAGGUGGCAAGCGUUGUCCGGAAUUAUUGGGCGUAAAGCGCGCGCAGGCGGUCCUUUAAGUCUGAUGUGAAAGCCCACGGCUCAACCGUGGAGGGUCAUUGGAAACUGGGGGACUUGAGUACAGAAGAGGAAAGCGGAAUUCCAAGUGUAGCGGUGAAGUGCGUAGAGAUUUGGAGGAACACCAGUGGCGAAGGCGGCUUUCUGGUCUGUAACUGACGCUGAGGCGCGAAAGCGUGGGGAGCAAACAGGGAUUAGAUACCCUGGUAGUCCACGCCGUAAACGAUGAGUGCUAAGUGUUAGGGGGUUUCCCGCCCCUUAGUGCUGCAGCUAACGCAUUAAGCACUCCGCCUGGGGAUACGGCCGCAAGGCUG